UACGACGAUAGUAAGUACAGAAUUUCCGUCUGCUCUACAUAUUCAACAGAGCAACUUCGAGUGUACUCACAGUAAAAGAGUAUGUAUUUGUACUUGUUGUACCUUAAAGGGUAUUAAAGUACCUUUUUCUUCUCAAGAAAGUGUCAAUUAUGGUGAAGAGUUAUUUGAAGAUCAGAAGCGAAGCUCAUGAUUCUUGAUGUUUUGCAACAAUCUAAACUUUAAAUAAAAAAGGGUACACGAAUCAACUUAUUCGUUGACAGGGUAUUUAUUCAAUCAAGUAGAAUCAGUCGCGACGCGAAAAUAGCCCGUGAUCUUACGCUGAAGACGGACAAAGAUUACGAUGGAAUAGUGAAACAUCAAAGCUUGCUACAGUAAUGCGAUUAAGCUCAAAGUAGCUGGACAUUUCGCCCGUGUCCGAAAGGAGCCAUGAAUUCGCAUGCGGAAAAAGUAAGAGGGUAUGGAAGUCCCGAAGAUGGAGGAGUCGUGUCAUCGUCAGAGGCUUAGGUCGAGUUCGUAAUGCGAUUCAACUUGAUAGGAGCUUAUGUUGCCCGAAAGUGCUGCCUGGGCAAUAGGAGACCGACUUUUGGACAACGCAAUUCACCGAAGAAAAAAAUCUGUUGGCCCAUGUUAGGAAGCUAUAAACGGAGAUUGCACUUAGCCUUUUUACCUUGGAUCAACUGAUCCGUUUAUAUCAGAGGAGCAGUGAGCAGAAACAGUAAAAUUUACUGUGAAAAAUAAG